rnacentral:rRNA from 1 species
AUGGACGACGCGGUCCGCUGGGACUUGCCCACGGACAUCCUGGUGGAGAUCCUGCUGCGGCUGCCCCCGAGCUCCCGGCGCCGGGUCCGCCUCGUCUGCCGGCUCUGGCGCGACGUCGUCGGCGAGCGCACCGCGGAGAUGCGGAGCCGCGCCACGGCCCUCAUCUGGCACCCCUGGCACCCCGUCGCCUGCAUGGUCGACGACCUGUCCUCGUCGUCCACCGGGAGCUGCAGGGAGCUGUGGAGGAGCGUCAGGGGCGUCCAGCUGGUCGGCACGUGCAACGGCCUUCUUUGCCUAUGCAACAACGAGGGGAUGCCAGGUGGCGUUAUCACCCUUGUCAACCCGGCCAUCAGUGACAUGCUGCCCCUCCCACCGCUGCCAUCCGCCGACAAGUUCAUCGGGAGCUUCCACUGGAUGAACUGGCACGAGGCGUACAGCUUUGCGUACCAGCCGACGUCGGGGCGGUACAAGAUGGUGCACGUCCCAUGCAGCUUCGGCCACGUGUGUGAGUUCAAUGGCGUGCGUGUGCUCACGCUGGGGGAGACAUCAUGGCGGGAGGUGCCGACCCUCCCUGAGGGCGGGGCGAGGUGCAACCUUGGAGCUGGCAUUGUCAGCAUCGACGGCGCAACACACUGGAUCACACGGGGCGCCACCACGAGGGUCGUGUCAUUUGACCUCGAAGACGAGCACAUCACUUCCAUCACAGAGCUGCCCACACGGGCGGCCGGGCCUUGUCAUUUCCACCUGACGGAGGUACACGGGAGGCUGGGCAUUGUUAUCCAUGACCUCUCUGUCACGACGGAGGUCUGGAUUAUGGAGAAGGGACGGCGAUGGAGCCGCCGAUACAGCUUCAGACGGCAACACCUACCACGGCCACAUUUCGUGUACGGCGAGUAUGUUCUCACACGAGAGGAGUCAUCAUUGUAUGUUCACUACAGAAAGAAAGGCCCAUCAUUGUCCGGCGAAGUGGUGCAAGUCGGGCAUCGGGAUCAGGGGACGCUGGUUGCGGAGCUAAAGGUCAACUAUUCCCACAGUCAGUAUAGGACAUUCGCCUACGUGCAAACAACCGAACCACUAAGUGUUUAUGAGCCCAAUAAAUAUUAA